UACGUAGGAUGCAAGCGUUGUCCGGAAUUACUGGGCGUAAAGGGCGAGUAGGCGGUAUACCAAGUCCGAUGUGAAAUCCCCCGGCUUAACCUGGGAACUGCGUCUGAUACUGGGAGGCUUGAGUAUGGGAGAGGGAUGUAGAAUUCCAGGUGUAGCGGUGAAAUGCGUAGAUAUCUGGAGGAAUACCGGUGGCGAAGGCGGCAUCCUGGACCAUAACUGACGCUGAGGCGCGAAAGCUAGGGGAGCAAACGGG
rnacentral:rRNA from 1 species